AGUAGGGCAUAGGAGCAGUGGUGUGUGUGAGUGGUGCAAUGUGUAAGGGGUGCAGUGUGUGUGUGUGUGAGGGGGACAGUGUGUGAGCAGUGUGUGUGUGUGUGUGUGAAGGUUGUAGUGUGUGAGUGGGGGGGCAGUGUAUGUCAGGGAUGCAGUGUAUGUGUGGGACAGUAUGUGUGUGUAACAGUUGCAGUGUGUGUGUG